CUUAACCUUCGGGAGGGCGCUUACCACUUUGUGAUUCAUGACUGGGGUGAAGUCGUAACAAGGUAACCGUAGGGGAACCUGCGGUUGGAUCACCUCCUUA
rnacentral:rRNA from 7 species